CAACUUUCAACAACGGAUCUCUUGGCUCUCGCAUCGAUGAAGAACGCAGCGAAAUGCGAUAAGUAAUGUGAAUUGCAGAAUUCAGUGAAUCAUCGAAUCUUUGAACGCACCUUGCGCCUUUUGGUAUUCCGAAAGGCAUGCCUGUUUGAGUGUCAUGU
rnacentral:rRNA from 4 species